rnacentral:rRNA from 1 species
GAUGACGCUGGCGGCAGGCCUAACACAUGCAAGUCGAACGAGUGGCGGACGGGUGAGUAAUGUCUGGGAAACUGCCUGAUGGAGGGGGAUACCUACUGGAAACGGUAGCUAAUACCGCAUACCAUCGGAUGAGCCCAGAUGGGAUUAUCUAGUAGGUGGGGUAACGGCUCACCUAGGCGACGAGCCCUAGCUGGUCUGAGAGGAUUACCAGCCACACUGGAACUGGGAACCGGUCCGAACUCCUACGUGAGGCAGCAGUGGGGAAUAUUGCACAGUGGGCGCAAGCCUGAUGCAGCCAGGCAGCGUGUAUGAGGAAGGCCUUCGGGGUGUAAAGUACUGUCUGCGGGGAGGCGUUACCCGCAGAAGAAGCACCGGCUAACUCCGUGCCAGCAGCCGCGGUAAUAC